GGGCGUAUAGCUCAGCGGUAGAGCACCUCCCUUACAAGGAGGGGGUCAGGGGUUCGAAUCCCUUUGCGCCCA
rnacentral:tRNA from 1 species